rnacentral:rRNA from 1 species
CAGUAGCCGCGGGAAUACGGAGGGGGCUAGCGUUGUUCGGAAUUACUGGGCGUAAAGCGCACGUAGGCGGCUUGGUAAGUUAGAGGUGAAAGCCCGGAGCUCAACUCCGGAAUUGCCUUUAAGACUGCCGAGCUAGUAGGUGAGAGAGGUAAGUGGAAUUCCGAGUGUAGAGGUGAGAUUCGUAGAUAUUCGGAAGAACACCAGUGGCGAAGGGGGCUCACUGGCUCAUACUGGACGCUGAGGUGCGAAGGCGUGGGGAGCAAACAGGAUUAGAGACCCCAGUAGUCCCUGUCUCUUAUAC